GACGAACCGUACAAACGUUAUUCGGAAUUACUGGCUUAAAGGGUUUGUAGGCGGCCUUGUAAGUCAGGUGUGAAAUCCCUCGGCUCAACCGAGGAAUGGCGCUUGAUACUGCAAGGCUUGAGGGAGACAGGGGUAAGCGGAACUGAUGGUGGAGCGGUGAAAUGCGUUGAUAUCAUCAGGAACACCGGUGGCGAAAGCGGCUUACUGGGUCUCUUCUG
rnacentral:rRNA from 1 species